UUUUGGUACAAAAAAUUAAUUUAGAAUAAUUUAAUUUGUUGGCCGGGAAUGAAAGACCGAUUAAAUUUUUUUUGGAGAGAUAAGUAGCACGUUGCCUGCUUCGUUUAUUUUAUUCAGAAAUAAACUUAGCUGGAAAUAUCAAUCAGCUAGGAUUCGAACUUGAGUCUCAGGUACCAACCACUAAACUCUUUGCCACUUGCUCCAGAAACGGCCGGUAAAGACCAAUUAAUU
rnacentral:lncRNA from 1 species